rnacentral:rRNA from 1 species
UUAGGAAUAUUCGUCAAUGGGGGAAACCCUGAACGAGCAAUGCCGCGUGAAGGAUGACGGUCCUCUGGAUUGUAAACUUCUGUUGUUAGGGAAGAACGACCAUACUAGGAAAUGAGUAUGGAGUGACGGUACCUUUCAAGAAAGCUCCGGCUAACUACGUGCCAGCAGCCGCGGUAAUACGUAGGGAGCGAGCGUUAUCCGGAUUUAUUGGGUGUAAAGCGUGUGUAGGCGGUUUCUUAAGUCUAAGGUUUAAGCCCGGAGCUUAACUCCGGUUCGCCUUAGAAACUGAGUUACUUGAGUGCGGUAGAGGCAAGUGGAAUUUCUAGUGUAGCGGUAAAAUGCGUAGAUAUUAGAAGGAACACCAGUGGCGAAGGCGACUUGCUGGGCCGUUACUGACGCU